AUUGAACGCUGGCGGCAGGCCUAACACAUGCAAGUCGAACGGUAACAGGAAGAAGCUUGCUUCUUUGCUCGCGAGUCGCGGGCGUAAGGGUAAUGUCUGUGACACUGCCUGAUGGAGAAGGAUAGCUACUGGACACGAUAACUACUAACGCAUAACGUCACAAGACCAAGAAGGUUCGCCUUCCGGCCUCCUGCCUUCGCCUAUGCCGGAUUAGCUAGUGGGUGGGGUAAAGGCAUACCAAGGCGACGAUCCGUAGCUGGUCUGAGAGGAUGAGCAGCCACACUGGAACUGAGACACGGUCCAGACUCCUACGGGAGGCAGCAGUGGGGAAUAUUGCACAAUGGGCGAAAGCCUGAUGCAGCCAUGCCGCGUGUAUGAAGAAGGCCUUCGGGUUGUAAAGUACUUUCAGCUGGGAGGAAGGGAGGUAAGUUAAUACCUUGGCUCAUUGACGUUACCCGCAGAAGAAGCACCGGCUAACUCCGUG
rnacentral:rRNA from 1 species